UGGGGAAUUUUGGACAAUGGGGGCAACCCUGAUCCAGCAAUGCCGCGUGUGUGAAGAAGGCCUUCGGGUUGUAAAGCACUUUUGUCCGGAAAGAAAACUUCGGGGCUAAUACCCCUGGAGGAUGACGGUACCGGAAGAAUAAGCACCGGCUAACUACGUGCCAGCAGCCGCGGUAAUACGUAGGGUGCGAGCGUUAAUCGGAAUUACUGGGCGUAAAGCGUGCGCAGGCGGUGCUGUAAGACCGAUGUGAAAUCCCCGGGCUUAACCUGGGAACUGCAUUGGAGACUGCAGCGCUGGAGUAUGGCAGAGGGGGGUGGAAUUCCACGUGUAGCAGUGAAAUGCGUAGAGAUGUGGAGGAACACCGAUGGCGAAGGCAGCGCCCUGGACAAAUACUGACGCUCAUGCACGAAAGCGUGGGGAGCAAACAGG
rnacentral:rRNA from 1 species